rnacentral:rRNA from 1 species
ACCAGCAGCCAUAUCACUCUGCAACUCACAACUGGCAACUGCUACUCACAACUGGCAACCCACUGAAGCUAAGCAGGUGUGAGCCUGGUCAGUACCUGAAUGGGAGACCUCCUGGCAAAAUCUAAGGUUUCUGUUGGAA